GACAGAGGGUGCAAACGUUGUUCGGAAUUACUGGGCGUAAAGGGCUCGUAGGCGGCCAACUAAGUCGGACGUGAAAUCCCCAGGCUCAACCUGGGAACUGCGUCCGAUACUGGAUGGCUUGAAUCCGGGAGAGGGAUGCAGAAUUCCAGGUGCAGCGGUGAAAUGCGUAGAUAUCUGGAGGAAUACCGGUGGCGAAGGCGGCAUCCUGGACCGGCAUUGACGCUGAGGAGCGAAAGCCAGGGGAGCAAACGGG
rnacentral:rRNA from 1 species